rnacentral:tRNA from 1 species
GUAAUGGUUAUUCAGUGGUAGAAUUCUCGCCUGCCAUGCGGGAGACCUAGAGUUGAUUCCCUGCUACUACA